rnacentral:rRNA from 1 species
AUUGAACGCUGGCGGCAGGCCUAACACAUGCAAGUCGAACGAGUGGCGGACGGGUGAGUAAUGUCUGGGAAACUGCCUGAUGGAGGGGGAUCACUACUGGAAACGGUCGCUAAUACCGCAUACCAUCAGAUGUGCCCAGAUGGGAUUGGCUGGUUGGUGGGGUAACGGCUCACCAGGGCGACGAUCCCUAGCUGGUCGGAGAGGAGGACCACCCACACUGGAACUGAGAAACGGUCCAGACUCCUACGGGAGGCAGCAUGGGGGAAUAUUGCACAAGGGGCGAAAGCCUGAUGCAGCCAGGCCGCGUGGAUGAAGAAGGCCUUCGGGUUGUAAAGUACUUUCAGCGGGGAGGCGUUACCCGCAGAAGAAGCACCGGCUAACUACGUGCCAGCAGCCGCGGUAAUAC